rnacentral:rRNA from 1 species
UACGUAGGGUGCGAGCGUUGUCCGGAAUUAUUGGGCGUAAAGCGCUCGUAGGCGGUCUGUCGCGUCGAUCGUGAAAACUUGGGGCUUAACCCUGAGCUUGCGGUCGAUACGGGCAUGACUGGAGUUCGGCAGGGGAGACUGGAAUUCCUGGUGUAGCGGUGAAAUGCGCAGAUAUCAGGAGGAACACCGGUGGCGAAGGCGGGUCUCUGGGCCGAUACUGACGCUGAGAAGCGAAAGCGUGGGGAGCGAACAGG